GACGAACGCUGGCGGCGUGCUUAACACAUGCAAGUCGAGCGGUAAGGCCCUUCGGGGUACACGAGCGGCGAACGGGUGAGUAACACGUGGGUGAUCUGCCUCGCACUUCGGGAUAAGCCUGGGAAACUGGGUCUAAUACCGGAUAUGACCUUUCAGUGCAUGCUGUUUGGUGGAAAGAUUUAUCGGUGCGAGAUGGGCCCGCGGCCUAUCAGCUUGUUGGCGGGGUAACGGCCCACCAAGGCGACGACGGGUAGCCGACCUGAGAGGGUGACCGGCCACACUGGGACUGAGACACGGCCCAGACUCCUACGGGAGGCAGCAGUGGGGAAUAUUGCACAAUGGGCGAAAGCCUGAUGCAGCGACGCCGCGUGAGGGAUGACGGCCUUCGGGUUGUAAACCUCUUUCGACAGGGACGAAGCGCAAGUGACGGUACCUGUAGAAGAAGCACCGGCCAACUACGUG
rnacentral:rRNA from 1 species